ACCAACCACUCCCCACGGUCACCACCCUGAUAUGCCAAACAAAAACCUAUCUGGGGGAGCCCCUCCAAGGCGUAGAUCCUCCUGUGCACUGGGUCCUGCGAAUCCAUCUUCGCCUGUUGGCUCAGCUUGUCGUUGCUGGGACGGGUGUGGCAGGGGGUGUCACUAGGCACGCAGGUGGGGGGUGUGAGUGGACGAGGCUCACGUGGCGAAAAGCCUUUAGGACACACUUUACUUGCCCUGGCACACCCGCGACCCAGAUGGAAGAGGAUCCAGAUGCAGAGCGAGAGAGAGAUACGUCGUGCACGGAGGAAGCCAAAGAGGAGACUUAUCAAAGAGAGAGUAAUUGGUCCCUGCAUAUCCGAUUGUAAACAAGCUACAAGCUGCGUCUGAAUGAAAAUCACCCUGAGUCUUUUGAAAUGUUUCGCCACGACAAGUUUGGAUCUGCAUUUACGCAAAAUAUUUGUUAUAUUGAUCGCAAUUUGAAGCAGUAUGAUAAAGUAAAGGAUAAGGAAGGACAAAUGUCUUCCAACUUCCACUGCUGUUAUGAUUGCCACAAUUAUCCUGAGUGGGAAAAUGCAGAGAUACUUCAGUAUGGAAAUUGUGAAAUAGCUCACAAGACCAUUGGAUAGAAGCAGGUUAAUCAUCUCGCGGAGAAAGUAAUAUGAGGGGUCGAGGUGAAAUAGACAAGCAAAUAUCGCCACGGGAAGGGGAGACGUCCAAAGAAAAGUGCACGUACAAAUGACUACAAUGCCGAUUGAAUCAUGCAGAUGAGGUCGACAGAGCAGCACAGCGUUUUGUUGCGUUUUGGUCAGUUACGAUCCACUCACCCAGAGGAACCGCUUUCUCCAAUUGAACAAGCAAAUUAAAUCCCAUCACCGCAGUUUCAGCAUUAUAGAAAAUAACAAUGUUUGCAAUAAUUGUCAAGGAUGAUACUGUGCCAAAGGCAGAAAGGACAAUGAUGACCAACUCAUAUUUAUCUGAAGGGUAGGUAAGUCUCCCCACAAGAAAGAGACAGAUUGGAAGGACAAUCGCUGUCACGAAGACUAUAAAAUUUGCAAUUAUCCAAAUAUAAAUGUAUUUGUGAGAAUUUACUAUCAGGCUGCAUUUUGAAGUGGGACUUAUGUAAAUGGGGCAAUAAUUCCCGAACGGAAAAUGUUUGAAAUGUGAUUCAAAUGAUUUCCACAAUAGUGGUGUCGACAUGGUGGGAAGAGAAAGUAUGUGGAAGGAACAAAAUCAAAAAGUUGUUAGUUACGUUUGACCCAGUUUUAUUUAUACCAGUUGAUUUUGGUUUAACUCAAGACCGAUAUUAUUAUUAUAGCAUGUCCAAGAAAUAAAGAGAAUGGACGAAAGUGCGCUUAUCUUCAAAAAGAUGUUACAAAUCUUGACAAUCUUGGCAAGAGAAUAGCAUGCACAACAAACCACGUAAAUACUUUCACUUCUCUUAAUUAUUCCAAUAAAAUUUUCUGUUUGGUGUUAAGUAUUAAUUUGGUGACACAGAGAUGUAAAAUGAUACUUUCAUUUAUUCUCUUUACUUGUUGGACAGGCUUUGUUUAUUUAAAUAAAUAAAUAAAUUAUUGAUCAGGUUAACGAGGACGGCACAUCUACAUAAAUUGCAUAAUUAGCAUAUGUAAAUUUACAAACUAAUGUAAGAAAUACAAUUUUAUAAUUAUAUUUAAAAUAAUAACAUAAGUGAUGCGCAAUUUAUUACAAUUAUACGACGAAAAUUUGUUCAAAAUAUAAAAAUUCAAGUUGGUACGUACGUGGAUGCAUUACUGAGGAUGAGUAUAAUGACAGCUUUAAUAAUCAAAUAUUUGAAAUAUUAACCCGGUAAUUAGAUAGAAUUAAUUUCGGCUAAACGUAAUAAUUAAAUAGCAAAAUUAAAGUGUCGUUAUUUUUAAAACCGGGCAUAUUUACUAGAAUACGUUAUGUACACAUUUAUUACAGCACAAUUAUGUAGAAUUAAAUUAGAUUGAGUAAAUGCUACGAUUCUAAAAAGCUAGAAUAAAUGGUGUAAAAUUAUGACUUGUUUUUGUUCAACCAAACGUUAGGUUUAAUGUUGUACAUAAUUAAGGCGAUCACGAUUGCUUAACUUUUAGUAUUAAGAGAACGUUAGUGUCCCUUUUAGAGUUAUGCAGUGCCUAAUAAUAUUGCCAGCAUACAUGCUUCACGCCAUCAUCGCGUCCUACUCCCAAUCCGGUUUUCGAUUGGUCGAAACUUUUAAUUGUCGCAGCGAUAAUUUCGAUAAGCUAAUCAAAAACUCGGAUUGGAAGCAGGGCGUGAUGAUGACGUGAAGUAUGGAUGAAGCUUUGUUGUAGUCAUAUGGUGCGAAUUUAUCUAAUUCUUACCAUUACCGAAAUGUAAUGAUUAAUAGAAAAUGUCUGUUAAGUAUUAAUCGGGUCACGUGUAUCCGUCACUACUAAAACCCAUGUCAUUAAUAUCAUACUUGUUCUUCAAACUGUCGAGUUGAUAUUUUCUGGUUGCAAUAACAAUGUGUGGACAUAUAGCAGUGAUGAGAUUGAUUGGUUAAACACACCUAAAUUUCUCACAAAUUUCAAUUUUUAGUAUUGUUUUAAAGAUUCCGGUUGUAAAAAAUAAAGAAUAAAUAAAAUAAGAGCAGAAUUAUAUAUUUGUCAAUAAUUUCAGAGUAUUUAUUUACAUAUGUAUAUACUGUUUUCAUCAGCAGUAGGGAAUAUUUGUACAUACAUUGUAAAAGUAUGUUGAAUGUUUUAAAAGAGAUGACAAGAAAGUGAUUAGUGAUUAUACAAAUAUUUAUCGACGUUAUUGGAAUAGAG